ACAACCUCAGGGUGAUAACCUGGAGACUUUAGUUCCUCGACACACAUCAGUGCUUCCUCCAAAACUCGGAUGUUGAAAUAUUCCUCCAGUAAUGAGAUUGUCUUUCUACGGAGUUCAUCCAGAUUCAACUUUCCAGCAGGGCGAAGUGGUUUCUCCACAACUGCAGGCACGGGGGAAGAAGUAACAGGUUUAGAAGGUAUAGGGAGUUGGGACGUAGGCUCUGGGCCUGGAAUAAAGUUGGAUGGUCGUGGAGGAGGGGUCCCACUGCCCUGCAACAGAGCACUCCUAGCACCCAUAGGACCACCAGUACCCUGAGGUAACAGCCUAGUGUUCAGUGAUGAAGACUUAUUAAUCAUUGGUGACUGCACACGUCCUCCAGGCUGCAUUCCUGAUCCAUCGCCCCUAGGAAUUGACCGCUGCCUAGGAAAUUCCCAAUUAUCAUUAUCUAUUCCAGGCAUCCCAGGCAUCUUUCUAGUUCCUGGCAUGCCAGGCAUCAUACCCCCCGAACCAGGUCGUGUAAUAGGCAUGCCACCCGGGCCAGUAACCCCUGGAGCCCCAGAGAUCAUGCCACGGCUAUUUCUAAUGCUUGCAGUAGCACCUGGACGCAACCCAAGAUUCU
rnacentral:lncRNA from 1 species